rnacentral:rRNA from 1 species
UACGUAGGGGGCGAGCGUUGUCCGGAUUUACUGGGCGUAAAGCGCGUGUAGGCGGGAGAUUAAGUCGGGUGUGAAAGCCCGGGGCUCAACCCCGGGAUGCCGCCCGAGACUGGUCUCCUUGAGGACGGAAGAGGGGAGUGGAAUUCCUGGUGUAGCGGUGAAAGGCGUAGAGAUCAGGAGGACCACCCGUGGCGAAGGCGGCUCCCUGGUCCGUUUCUGACGCUGAGACGCGAAAGCGCGGGGAGCGAACGGG